AUUCUGAAAUGACACAUGGAUCAUUAAAAAACAUUUUCCUGUUGAAUAGGUCAAUAUUAAUUUUGUAGAAAUGAGGAAAAUCAGCCCUUAAAAUAAGGCGGCCUCUAGAUACAACAAUAAAUUUCCAUUGGAAAGUUCCAAGAUUUUCUAUUUGCAACCUUAGAGUUUUAGUACCGAGAACUUCUACUGGAUUCCCUCCAUAACCACAAUAAAUAGGUGGCAUUUUAACACGAAUGAAAUCUUUACAAUUCGUCAGAUAUAUAACGGAAAUCUGGGUACCCGUAUCUACAAGAAAAUUAAUUGAAUUUAUAUUGUCGUUAAUUAAUAAGAAAUUUGAAGGAUUAUUUAAUGCCUCGGUCCCAUGCAACCGAGGAUAAUUUAGUUUUUUUGAAUCAAUGAGUUAAAAUGGCAAUCAGGACCAGACCACACAGAUGUUGAUGACUUCGAAAAAGCUCCACUAGGUAUAUUCUUAAUCAAAGGUGCGACAGUGGGAGAAGAAGAUGAAUCCUCUACAGUAGAAAUGGAAGUGUUUGUGACUUCCUUCGCAGCCGUACACAUAGCUGCUAAAUUCUUAGUCGUAUUCCGCAUCCAGAAGACCUCAUCUUUUACCUCCAUGCUCGAGAGC
rnacentral:lncRNA from 1 species